AUGGUAGGAUAGAGGCCUACCAUGGUUUUAACGGGUAACGGGGAAUUAGGGUUCGAUUCCGGAGAGGGAGCCUGAGAAACGGCUACCACAUCCAAGGAAGGCAGCAGGCGCGCAAAUUACCCAAUCCCGACACGGGGAGGUAGUGACAAUAAAUAACAAUAUGGGGCUCUUACGAGUCUUGUAAUUGGAAUGAGUACAAUUUAAAUCUCUUAACGAGGAACAAUUGGAGGGCAAGUCUGGUGCCAGCAGCCGCGGUAAUUCCAGCUUCAAUAGCGUAUAUUAAAGUUGUUGCAGUUAAAAAGCUCGUAGUUAAAUUUCGGGAUUUAUCCGUCGGUCGGGCUUUUGGGUCUGUACUGGCGUGAUGGAUUCCUACCUUCUGAAUAACCGGCAUGUCAUUAAUUUGGUGCGCCGGGGAAGCAGGACUGUUACCUUGAAAAAAUUAGAGUGCUUAAAGCAGGCUUAUGCCUGAAUACAUUAGCAUGGAAUAAUGAAAUAGGACGGCAUGGUUCUAUUUUGUUGGUUUCUAGGAUCACCGUAAUGAUUAAUAGGGAUAGUUGGGGGCAUUAGUACUCAAUUGUCAGAGGUGAAAUUCUUGGAUUUAUUGAAGACUAACUUCUGCGAAAGCAUUUGCCAAGGAUGUUUUCAUUAAUCAAGAACGAAAGUUAGGGGAUCGAAGACGAUCAGAUACCGUCGUAGUCUUAACCAUAAACUAUGCCGACUAGGGAUCGGACGAUGUUAAUUUUUUAAUGACUCGUUCGGCGCCUUACGGGAAACCAAAGUGUUUGGG
rnacentral:rRNA from 1 species